CACAGAAACUGAGCAAGAAAACAAACAAAAACAGUAAGAUUAUGUAUGAACCAAGCUUUACCCAGCAUUACUACUCUUUUCUCCUGGAAUGUAUUGAAUUACUUUUAUUGAGAUGAAAAAUCUGGGGCCAAAAGAAUUAUAUAUGUGAGAGACCAGAAUAUGCCACCUCAAGAUAUGAAGGACUGUUGAGUUGAAGACAAUUAAAAAGCAGCAGAUACAGGAAUGCUCUCUGACCUCCUCUAUUUGCCUAAAAGCAAAAUGUAGAUUUUCAAAGACAAAAGGGAUCCUGGCAUUCC
rnacentral:lncRNA from 10 species